CCUACGGGUGGCAGCAGUCGAGAAUCAUUCACAAUGGGGGAAACCCUGAUGGUGCGACGCCGCGUGGGGGAAUGAAGGUCUUCGGAUUGUAAACCCCUGUUAUGUGGGAGCAAAUUAAAAAGAUAGUACCACAACAGGAAGAGACGGCUAACUCUGUGCCAGCAGCCGCGGUAAUACAGAGGUCUCAAGCGUUGUUCGGAACCACUGGGCGUAAAGCGUGCGUAGGCUGUUUCGUAAGUCGUGUGUGAAUGGCGCGGGCUCAACCCGCGGACGGCACAUGAUACUGCGAGACUAGAGUAAGGGAGGGGGAACCGGAAUGCUCGGUGUAGCAGUGAAAUGCGUAGAUAUCGAGAGGAACACUCGUGGCGAAGGCGGGUUCCUGGACAUUAACUGACGCUGAGGCACGAAGGCCAGGGGAGCGAAAGGGAUUAGAUACCCCAGUAGUC
rnacentral:rRNA from 1 species